rnacentral:rRNA from 1 species
GACGAACGCUGGCGGCGUGCUUAACACAUGCAAGUCGAGCGGUAAGGCCCCUUCGGGGGUACGACGAGCGGCGAACGGGUGAGUAACACGUGGGUGACCUGCCCUCAGCUCUGGGAUAAGCCUGGGAAACUGGGUCUAAUACCGGAUAUGACUCCAUGACGCAUGUCGUGGGGUGGAAAGCCUUGUGCGGCUGGGGAUGGGCCCGCGGCCUAUCAGCUUGUUGGUGGGGUGAUGGCCUACCAAGGCGACGACGGGUAGCCGGCCUGAGAGGGCGACCGGCCACACUGGGACUGAGACACGGCCCAGACUCCUACGGGAGGC